rnacentral:rRNA from 1 species
UACGUAGGGUGCAAGCGUUGUCCGGAAUUAUUGGGCGUAAAGGGCUCGUAGGCGGUUUGUUGCGUCGGGAGUGAAAACUCAGGGCUUAACCCUGAGCCUGCUUCCGAUACGGGCAGACUAGAGGUAUGCAGGGGAGAACGAAUUCCUGGUGUAGCGGUGAAAUGCGCAGAUAUCAGGAGGAACACCGGUGGCGAAGGCGGUUCUCUGGGCAUUACCUGACGUGAGGAGCGAAAGUGUGGGGAGCGAACAGG